rnacentral:rRNA from 1 species
UACGUAGGGGGCAAGCGUUGUCCGGAUUUAUUGGGCGUAAAGAGCGUGUAGGCGGCCAGGUAGGUCCGUUGUGAAAACUCGAGGCUCAACCUCGAGACGUCGAUGGAAACCAUCUGGCUAGAGUCCGGAAGAGGAGAGUGGAAUUCCUGGUGUAGCGGUGAAAUGCGCCAGAUAUCAGGAAGAACACCCGUGGCGAAGGCGGCUCUCUGGGACGGUACUGACGCUGAGACGCGAAAGCGUGGGGAGCGAACAGG